UACAGAGGGGGCAAGCGUUAUUCGGAAUUAUUGGGCGUAAAGGGCUCGUAGGCGGUUCGUCACGUCGGGAGUGAAAACUCGGAGCUUAACUCCGAGCCUGCUUCCGAUACGGGCAGACUAGAGGUAGGCAGGGGAGAGCGGAACUCCUGGUGUAGCGGUGGAAUGCGCAGAUAUCAGGAAGAACACCGGUGGCGAAGGCGGCUCUCUGGGCCUUACCUGACGCUGAGGAGCGAAAGCGUGGGGAGCGAACAGG
rnacentral:rRNA from 1 species